CAGUCGCCGCGGUAAAACGAAGGGUGCAAGCGUUAAUCGGAAUUACUGGGCGUAAAGCGUGCGUAGGCGGUGAGUUAAGUCUGCUGUGAAAUCCCCGGGCUCAACCUGGGAAUGGCAGUGGAUACUGGCUCGCUAGAGUGUGUCAGAGGAUGGUGGAAUUCCCGGUGUAGCGGUGAAAUGCGUAGAGAUCGGGAGGAACAUCAGUGGCGAAGGCGGCCAUCUGGGACAACACUGACGCUGAGGCACGAAAGCGUGGGGAGCAAACAGGAUUAGAUAACCCGGUAGUCCCUGUCUCUUAUAC
rnacentral:rRNA from 1 species